rnacentral:rRNA from 1 species
AGCAGUGAGGAAUAUUGCGCAAUGGGGGCAACCCUGACGCAGCGACGCCGCGUGGGUGAGGAAGGCUUUCGGGUCGUAAAACCCUGUCAGAAGGGAAGAAAUGCUUAUGGGUUAAUAUCUUGUAAGCUUGACGGUACCUUCAAAGGAAGCACCGGCUAACUCCGUGCCAGCAGCCGCGGUAAUACGGAGGGUGCAAGCGUUGUUCGGAAUCACUGGGCGUAAAGGGCGCGUAGGCGGCUUGGCAAGUCAGAUGUGAAAGCCCACGGCUUAACCGUGGAAGUGCAUUUGAAACUGCUUGGCUUGAGUAUCAGAGGGGAAAGUGGAAUUCCCGGUGUAGAGGUGAAAUUCGUAGAUAUCGGGAGGAAUACCGGUGGCGAAGGCGACUUUCUGGCUGAAUACUGACGCUGAGGCGCGAAAGCGUGGGGAGCAAACAGGAUUAGAUACCCUGGUAGUCCACGCCGUAAACGAUGUCAACUAGGUGCAGGGGGUGUUGAUCCCCUCUGUGUCGCAGCUAACGCAUUAAGUUGACCGCCUGGGGAGUACGGUCGCAAGAUUAAAACUCAAAGGAAUUGACGGA